AAGACCUUGCGCUUUUGGAGCGGCCGAUGCCUGAUUAGCUUGUUGGUAAGGUAAAAGCUUACCAAGGCUUCGAUCAGUAGCUGGUCUGAGAGGACGACCAGCCACACUGGGACUGAGACACGGCCCAGACUCCUACGGGAGGCAGCAGUGGGGAAUUUUGGACAAUGGGGGCAACCCUGAUCCAGCCAUGCCGCGUGAGUGAAGAAGGCCUUCGGGUUGUAAAGCUCUUUCAGCCGGAACGAAACGGUUACGGUUAAUACCCGCGAUUACUGACGGUACCGGAAGAAGAAGCACCGGCUAACUACGUGCCAGCAGCCGCGGUAAUACGUAGGGUGCGAGCGUUAAUCGGAAUUACUGGGCGUAAAGCGUGCGCAGGUGGUUUUGUAAGUCAGAUGUGAAAGCCCCGGGCUCAACCUGGGAACU
rnacentral:rRNA from 1 species